rnacentral:rRNA from 1 species
AUUGAACGCUGGCGGCAUGCCUUACACAUGCAAGUCGAACGGCAGCACGGGUGCUUGCACCUGGUGGCGAGUGGCGAACGGGUGAGUAAUAUAUCGGAACGUACCUUAUUGUGGGGGAUAACGCAGCGAAAGCUGUGCUAAUACCGCAUAAUCCCUAAGGGGGAAAGCGGGGGACCGUAAGGCCUCGCGCAAUUAGAGCGGCCGAUACCUGAUUAGCUAGUUGGUGAGGUAAAGGCACACUAAGGCAACGAUCAGUAGCUGGUCUGAGAGGACGACCAGCCACAGUGGGACAGAGACACGGCACAGACUCCUGCGGGAGGCAGCAGUGGGGAAUUUUGGACAAGGGGGGAAACCCUGAUCCAGCAAUGCCGCGUGGGUGAGGAAGGCCUGCGGGUUGUAAAGCUCUUUUAUCAGGGAAGAAACAGCAGCUCUAACACAGUUUGCGAAUGACGGUACCUGAAGAAUAAGCACCGGCUAACUACGUGCCAGCCGCCGCCGUAA